rnacentral:lncRNA from 1 species
GGAUGUGUGAGAUGAAUAAGGGAUUUAAGGAUGAAUGAAAUGUGAAUGAAGGGGUCUAUUUAUACUUGAGGGGAAGCUUGGGAGUUUUCUAAAAAUAGCAUGCACAUCCCUUAAUAAUAUCCCUUACAUGGCCGACCAUGAAUUUUGGGAUGAAGGGUUGAUGGUUACAUGAUUUUGUGACUGAUUCUUCCUUAACUCAUGGUAUGGGGUUGGAUAACAAUCAAGGUAUUACUUGGGG